rnacentral:rRNA from 1 species
CUUGAACGCUGGCGGCAGGCCCAACACAUGCAAGUCGAGCGGAGGGGCAGACGGGUGAGUAAUGCCUAGGUUUCUGCCGGGGAGUGGGGGAUAACGUCAGGAAACGGGCGCUGAUACCACAUACUAUCAGAUGAGCCUAGGUCGGAUUAGCUAGGUGGUGGGGUAAAGGCCUACCAAGGCGCCGAUCCGUCACUGGUCUGAGACGAUGAGCAGUCACACUGGAACUGAGACACGGUCCAGACUCCUACGGGUGGCAGCAGUGGGGAAUAUUGGACAAUGGUGGAAAGCCUGAUCCAGCGAUGCCGGGUGUGUGAAGAAGGUCGUCGGGUUAUAAAGCACUUUUAGUUGGGAGGCGUUACCAACAGAAUAAUCACCGGCUAACUCCGUGCCAGCAGCCGCGGUAAUUC